AACGAACGCUGGCGGCAGGCCUAACACAUGCAAGUCGAACGCUGUAGCAAUACAGAGUGGCAGACGGGUGAGUAACACGUGGGAACCUACCUAUUGGUACGGAAUAGCUCAGGGAAACUUGAGGUAAUACCGUAUACGCCUUACGGGAAGAUUAUCGCCGAUAGAUGGGCCGCGUCUGAUUAGCUAGUUGGUGAGGUAAUGGCUCACCAAGGCGACGAUCAGUAGCUGGUUUGAGAGAAUGACCAGCCACACUGGGACUGAGACACGGCCCAGACUCCUACGGGAGGCAGCAGUGGGGAAGUCUUGGACAAU
rnacentral:rRNA from 1 species